rnacentral:lncRNA from 1 species
GCUCCAGAGGCAGCUGUCAACAUCUGGGCCAACAGUCUAGGCCAGCCUCGAGAAAGUGUGGGAUCUUAGCCCCCAAUGACUCAGCUCUCUCAGGA